AAAAACGCUUCGAAUUUGACAGUUGACCUGAAAGCCAAUACCACACCGGUCACAUUUUCUGGCAUUGUUUGUUUAAAGCCGUUUUUCGUUGCAAGUUCUAAAUAUUUUACAAUUUAUGUGCCUUAAAACGGAACAAAACAAGGUAUGAGUAAAAUGCCUUCGAUUUUCGACACCCCACUUCCGGCUGAGCCGAAGAAACAGAAAAAGCGAGUCAACGAGUCCGGAGAACCGGACGGGGCUGCCCAGAAUGAAAAGCAAGCGAAAAAGAAGAAAACUACCGAGGGCGGCUUGUGUCAAGUUAGGAACAAAACGUUUUCAUAGCUAGGAACAAAACAUUUCAACCACUGCUAGUCAGUUUUGAAAUAUUUCACUAGACUAGCGCCAUCUAUGAUUCGCUAGAAUAAGCUCUGCUAUAAUGUUUUUAAGCUUUAUUUGGAACCGACUUAUACGUUUCUGUUAUUGUUAUUGGAUAGAAUUUUUAUUAGACAUAACUAAUGAACUGAAGAAAUACUUCUGGGGCCCUUCAGAUACCACGCGGACAGAAAAAUGAGAUUUUUGACCCUCUCGUCUCCCACCGUAGACAAGCGAAGACAAUUUUUCCAACAAAAAAAUUAAUUUUAAUGUUUGAAAAAUGUUGUUCAAAAACCUCGAUAAACUCGUAGCCACCCGAACAACCCAGUAUAGGAGGCACUACCAGAACUAGGGUUAGAGGCGAGUUAUAGGGUUUCAAAGUUCAGUAUGCAGAUUUUUUGUUGAAAAUAAAAAAAAAAUGCAAUUUCAAUGUUUGAAAAAUGUUGUUCAAAAACCUCGAUAUAAACUCGUAGCCACUAUAUCAGGAGUGUUCUAGAGACUGUCCCGAACAACCCAGUAUAGGUGGCACUACCAGAACUAGGGUCAGAGGCGAGUUAUAGGGUUUCAAAGUUCAGUAUGCAGAAUUUUUUUAAAAAUGAAAAAAAAAUGAAAUUUCAAUGUUUGAAAAAUGUUGUUCAAAAACCUCGAUAUAAACUCGUAGCCACUAUAUCAGGAGUGUUCUAGAGACUGUCCCGAACAACCCAGUAUAGGUGGCACUACCAGAACUAGGGUCAGAGGCGAGUUAUAGGGUUUCAAAGUUCAGUAUGCAGAACUUUUUUGAAAAUAAAAAAAAAUGCAAUUUCAAUGUUUGAAAAAUGUUGUUCAAAAACCUCGAUAUAAACUCGUAGCCACUGUAUCAGGAGUGUUCUAGAGACUGUCCCGAACAACCCAGUAUAGGUGGCACUACCAGAACUAGGGUCAGAGGCGAGUUAUAGGGUUUCAAAGUUCAGUAUGCAGAAUUUUUUUGAAAAUGAAAAAAAAUGCAAUUUCAAUGUUUGAAAAAUGUUGUUCAAAAACCUCGAUAUAAACUCGUAGCCACUAUAUCAGGAGUGUUCUAGAGACUGUCCCGAACAACCCAGUAUAGGUGGCACUACCAGAACUAGGGUCAGAGGCGAGUUAUAGGGUUUCAAAGUUCAGUAUGCAGAAUUUUUUUGAAAAUAAAAAAAAAAAAUGAAAUUUCAAUGUUUGAAAAAUGUUGUUCAAAAUCCUCGAUAUAAACUCGUAGCCACUAUAUCAGGAGUAUUCUAGAGACUGUCCCGAACAACCCAGUAUAGGUGGCACUACCAGAACUAGGGUCAGAGGCGAGUUAUAGGGUUUCAAAGUUCAGUAUGCAGAUUUUUCGUUGAAAAUAAAAAAAAAUGCAAAUUCAAUGUUUGAAAAAUGUUGUUCAAAAACCUCGAUAUAAACUCGUAGCCACUAUAUCAGGAGUGUUCUAGAGACUGUCCCGAACAACCCAGUAUAGGUGGCACUACCAGAACUAGGGUCAGAGGCGAGUUAUAGGGUUUCAAAGUUCAGUAUGCAGAUUUUUUGUUGAAAAUAAAAAAAAAUGCAAUUUCAAUGUUUGAAAAAUGUUGUUCAAAAACCUCGAUAUAAACUCGUAGCCACUAUAUCAGGAGUGUUCUAGAGACUGUCCCGAACAACCCAGUAUAGGUGGCACUACCAGAACUAGGGUCAGAGGCGAGUUAUAGGGUUUCAAAGUUCAGUAUGCAGAUUUUUUGUUGAAAAUAAAAAAAAUGCAUUUUCAAUGUUUGAAAAAAGUUGUUCAAAAACCUCGAUAUAAACUCGUAGCCACUAUAUCAGGAGUGUUCUAGAGACUGUCCCGAACAACCCAGUAUAGGUGGCACUACCAGAACUAGGGUCAGAGGCGAGUUAUAGGGUUUCAAAGUUCAGUAUGCAGAAUUUUUUUGAAAAUAAAAAAAAAAUGCAAUUUCAAUGUUUGAAAAAUGUUGUUCAAAAACCUCGAUAUAAACUCGUAGCCACUAUAUCAGGAGUGUUCUAGAGACUGUCCCGAACAACCCAGUAUAAGUGGCACUACCAGAACUAGGGUCAGAGGCAAGUUAUAGGGUUUCAAAGUUCAGUAUGCAGAAUUUUUUUGAAAAUAAAAAAAAAUGCAAUUUCAAUGUUUGAAAAAUGUUGUUCAAAAACCUCGAUAUAAACUCGUAACCACUAUAUCAGGAGUGUUCUAGAGACUGUCCCGAACAACCCAGUAUAGGUGGCACUACCAGAACUAGGGUCAGAGGCGAGUUAUAGGGUUUCAAAGUUCAGUAUGCAGAAUUUUUUUGAAAAUGAAAAAAAAAAUGAAAUUUCAAUGUUUGAAAAAUGUUGUUCAAAAUCCUCGAUAUAAACUCGUAGCCACUAUAUCAGGAGUGUUCUAGAGACUGUCCCAAACAACCCAGUAUAGGUGGCACUACCAGAACUAGGGUCAGAGGCGAGUUAUAGGGUUUCAAAGUUCAGUAUGCAGAACAUUUUUGAAAAUAAAAAAAAAUGCAAUUUCAAUGUUUGAAAAAUGUUGUUCAAAAACCUCGAUAUAAACUCGUAGCCACUAUAUCAGGAGUGUUCUAGAGACUGUCCCGAACAACCCAGUAUAGGUGGCACUACCAGAACUAGGGUCAGAGGCGAGUUAUAGGGUUUCAAAGUUCGGUAUGCAGAAUUUUUUUGAAAAUGAAAAAAAAAAUGCAAUUUCAAUGUUUGAAAAAUGUUGUUCAAAAACCUCGAUAUAAACUCGUAGCCACUAUAUCAGGAGUGUUCUAGAGACUGUCCCGAACAACCCAGUAUAGGUGGCACUACCAGAACUAGGGUCAGAGGCGAGUUAUAGGGUUUCAAAGUUCAGUAUGCAGAAUUUUUUUGAAAAUAAAAAAAAAAUGCAAUUUCAAUGUUUGAAAAAUGUUGUUCAAAAUCCUCGAUAUAAACUCGUAGCCACUAUAUCAGGAGUGUUCUAGAGACUGUCCCAAACAACCCAGUAUAGGUGGCACUACCAGAACUAGGGUCAGAGGCGAGUUAUAGGGUUUCAAAGUUCAGUAUGCAGAAUUUUUUUGAAAAUAAAAAAAAAUGCAAUUUCAAUGUUUGAAAAAUGUUGUUCAAAAACCUCGAUAUAAACUCGUAGCCACUAUAUCAGGAGUGUUCUAGAGACUGUCCCGAACAACCCAGUAUAGGUGGCACUACCAGAACUAGGGUCAGAGGCGAGUUAUAGGGUUUCAAAGUUCAGUAUGCAGAAUUUUUUUGAAAAUGAAAAGAAAUUGCAAUUUCAAUGUUUGAAAAAUGUUGUUCAAAAACCUCGAUAUAAACUCGUAGCCACUAUAUCAGGAGUGUUCUAGAGACUGUCCCGAACAACCCAGUAUAAGUGGCACUACCAGAACUAGGGUCAGAGGCGAGUUAUAGGGUUUCAAAGUUCAGUAUGCAGAAUUUUUUUGAAAAUGAAAAAAAAAAUGAAAUUUCAAUGUUUGAAAAAUGUUGUUCAAAAUCCUCGAUAUAAACUCGUAGCCACUAUAUCAGGAGUGUUCUAGAGACUGUCCCAAACAACCCAGUAUAGGUGGCACUACCAGAACUAGGGUCAGAGGCGAGUUAUAGGGUUUCAAAGUUCAGUAUGCAGAACUUUUUUGAAAAUAAAAAAAAUGCAAUUUCAAUGUUUGAAAAAUGUUGUUCAAAAACCUCGAUAUAAACUCGUAGCCACUAUAUCAGGAGUGUUCUAGAGACUAUCCCGAACAACCCAGUAUAAGUGGCACUACCAGAACUAGGGUCAGAGGCGAGUUAUAGGGUUUCAAAGUUCAGUAUGCAGAAUUUUUUUGAAAAUAAAAAAAAAAUGCAAUUUCAAUGUUUGAAAAAUGUUGUUCAAAAACCUCGAUAUAAACUCGUAGCCACUAUAUCAGGAGUGUUCUCGCUUAUUUUGAAAUACUCAGAGCCCGACUCCAUUUUACUCAGACAUCGCCGUUUGUAUGGCGCGUCCGUCGCUUGAUCUAAAACGACUCAGUUUUUCCGAGUGACGACUACUCAGAUGACUCGAAAAUUGACACUCAGCAAAUUUGAGAACUUGAAGGCGACAACUGAGUAAAUUUGGAUCAGUUUUUGCGAGGCAGUCGACUUUGUUUGUUUUCGACAACAAAUAAUUGAGAAAUUUAUAUGGGAAUCGCGAUGUUUUUUCUGUCGAAUCCGAGGUGCGUAAUAAAACAUUCAUCGAAUGCGUAGCAUAUUUACCGGCAGAAAAGUCCAGGAACGAACUAAAACAUCAUCUCAUCAAAAAACAGGCAUGCAGUGGUUGCGUUGGUCAAAAAGAAAAAUUUCCAAUCCGGUAACGCAGAAUAAAGUCCCGUAGGAGGCGUAUAACCCGGCGGGGGACAAACAGAAAAAUAAAAUAGUUCAACAUCAAGGAUAUUUUUUUAAAUAAAGAUUUAUGUGCAA